rnacentral:rRNA from 1 species
AUUGAACGCUGGCGGCAUGCUUUACACAUGCAAGUCGAACGGUAACAGCACUUCGGUGGCUGACGAGUGGCGAACGGGUGAGUAAUACAUCGGAACGUGCCUAGUAGUGGGGGAUAACUACUCGAAAGAGUAGCUAAUACCGCAUGAGAUCUAAGGAUGAAAGCAGGGGACCUUCGGGCCUUGCGCUACUAGAGCGGCUGAUGGCAGAUUAUUUAGUUGGUGUGAUAAAAGCUUACCAAGCCGACGAUCUUUAGCUGUUCUGAGAGGACGACCAGCCACAAUGGGACUGAGCCACGGCCCAGACUCCUACGGGAGGCAGCAGUGGGGAAUUUUGGACAAUGGGCGCAAGCCUGAUCCAGCAAUGCCGCGUGCAGGAUGAAGGCCUUCGGGUUGUAAACUGCUUUUGUACGGAACGAAAAGCCCUCUUCUAAUACAGGAGGGUCAUGACGGUACCGUAAGAAUAAGCACCGGCUAACUACGUG